GUGUCGGAGCAGAGAACAAUUUGGAGGAGUUGGAGCAGAGAGGAUUGGUGUUGGAGCAGAGAACAGUUUGGAGGUGUCGGAGCAGAGAGGAUUGGUGUCGGAGCAGAGAACAAUUUGGAGCAGUCGGAGCGGAGAGGAUUGGUGUCGGAGCGGAGAACAGUUUGGAGCAGUCGGAGCGGAGAGGAUUGGUGUUGGAGCAGAGAGGAUUGGUGUUGGAGCAGAGAGGAUUGGUGUUGGAGCAGAGAGGAUUGGUGCUGGAGCAGAGAACAGUUUGGAG